rnacentral:rRNA from 1 species
ACUACGGGAGGCAGCAGUGAGGAAUAUUGGUCAAUGGGAGAGAUCCUGAACCAGCCAAGCCGCGUGAGGGAAGACGGCCCUAUGGGUUGUACACCUCUUUUGUCGGAGAACAAAACCCGGGACGUGUCCCGGACUGCGUGUAUCCGCAGAAAAAGCAUCGGCUAACUCCGUGCCAGCAGCCGCGGUAAUACGGAGGAUGCGAGCGUUAUCCGGCUGUAUUGGGUUUAAAGGGUGCGUAGGCGGUCCGUUAAGUCAGCGGUAAAAUUGCGGGGCUCAACCCCGUCGAGCCGUUGAAACUGGCAGACUUGAGUUGGCGAGAAGUACGCGGAAUGCGCGGUGUAGCGGUGAAAUGCAUAGAUAUCGCGCAGAACUCCGAUUGCGAAGGCAGCGUACCGGCGCCAGACUGACGCUGAGGCACGAAAGCGUGGGGAUCGAACAGGAUUAGAUACCCCAGUAGUC